GAUGAACGCUGGCGGCGUGCCUAAUACAUGCAAGUCGAGCGAACGGACGAGAAGCUUGCUUCUCUGAUGUUAGCGGCGGACGGGUGAGUAACACGUGUAUAACCUACCUAUCAGACUGGGAUAACUUCGGGAAACCGUAGCUAAUACCGGAUAAUAUUUUGAACCGCAUGGUUCAAAAGUGAAAGACGGUCUUGCUGUCACUUAUAGAUGGAUCCGCGCUGCAUUAGCUAGUUGGUAAGGUAACGGCUUACCAAGGCAACGAUGCAUAGCCGACCUGAGAGGGUGAUCGGCCACACUGGAACUGAGACACGGUCCAGACUCCUACGGGAGGCAGCAGUAGGGAAUCUUCCGCAAUGGGCGAAAGCCUGACGGAGCAACGCCGCGUGAGUGAUGAAGGUCUUCGGAUCGUAAAACUCUGUUAUUAGGGAAGAACAUAUGUGUAAGUAACUGUGCACAUCUUGACGGUACCUAAUCAGAAAGCCACGGCUAACUACGUG
rnacentral:rRNA from 1 species